rnacentral:lncRNA from 1 species
CUGCUACAUUGCUGGACAAGAAUAACUUGGUCAAGUAUGAUAGGAAAAGUGGAUAUUUCCAGGUGACUGACUUGGGUCGUAUUGCGAGCUAUUAUUAUAUAACUCAUGGGACAAUUUCCACAUACAAUGAGCAUUUGAAACCUACGAUGGGUGAUAUUGAACUUUGUCGGCUUUUCUCUCUAAGUGAGGAAUUCAAAUAUGUAACAGUCAGACAAGAUGAGAAAAUGGAAUUGCCUACGAUGGGUGAUAUUGAACUUUGUAGGCUUUUCUCUCUAAGUGAGGAAUUCAAAUAUGUAACAGUCAGACAAGAUGAGAAAAUGGAAUUGGCAAAGCUUCUGGAUCGUGUUCCUAUUCCGGUAAAAG